AGUGUCUUCAUUUGGGCUCAAAUGCGAGAUAUGCCGUUGCUAUGGUAAUAUGGCAAUGGCUGUAGCCCUCCUCCCAGCUGUUGGUGGUUUUUGUGAGAGUGAGAGAGAAAGAAAAAGAGAGAGAGAGAGUGUGUAUGUGAGUGUGUGUUUGUGUGUGUGCACGCAUCCAUUGAUGCUGCCUCCGUGCUGUGUUCCCCCUUUCAGUCUUCAGAAUAGUGUCUCUACUAAUCCGUGAAAGUUGCGGCGCUCUGAACCAGUGGCCAAGCCUUUUCCCACUGAACCACGUCCCAGGGUUUGCGCUCAGCUUUACACUUGAUUGGUCCCUCCCGUGGCAGGACUCCCCUCCCUGCUGGGCGUGGGCCCGUCCCCCUUGCUGGGCUGCUCAGCACUGCCUAAUCGCCUUCUCCCCACCAUAAUUACCAGCGCUGAGCCCAGGACUCACCAACAACCCAUUAAAGUCUGGCCAGCCAGUCCUCAGCAGCCCUCACACAUCCAGCAUUUACACAGGCCCAGAACCAGGCCUAAGACCAGGCCCAGAUCCACCACAGCACCUGUUCAUGCCUGGCGAUGCCCCGCAGCACUGUGGACUUGGCUGCUGAGGCUGCUGAGGCUGCUGGGUAGGAAAAUGAGAGGGGGUUGGCAGCUGUGCUGUUGUCCUCCUCCCCCUGCAGUGGAGGUGAUGUGUUUAUUUGGGCUGGGAUGCUGCAGCAAGAAGCUGUGAGAGGUAACUAUCUCCUUGUUGUGCUGUACAGAGUACCAGGGAAUCCACCCUGCAGAGACACAGCCCUUUGAUAUGUGACCACUUCAAACCCACACAUACAAUGGAAGCAGUCAGUGGUGGAAAUAGCCAAAGUUGAUGUUGUCUGGGCAAGGUGGGACAAAUUUGCUUUGCUCAAAACCGACCUUGAACUUUUUCUGCAUACAUAUUUUCAGCAGAGCAAAUACAAAAAAUGUUGUAGAUUCAGAACGUUGACAAUCUUUGCAACAUGUGUAAAAUCAGAAAUGGGAAUACUCCCAUUUACAAUUUGGUUGCACCCAAAAGGUUUUCAAAUUUCAGACGAUUGCACCAUUGCUGAGAGCAUAUGGGACAGGCCAGGUGAAACGCAGUGACCUGGCAAACAGUCCAAAGACUGAUGAGAGCCGGGUACACGUCACAAGUCACUGGGUGUGCUGGCACAAACAGUACCCAGAAUGUGGAUCAGACAGACACCCAGCACUCGUUAGCUUAUUACUCUCUUAUUAGGAACAUUUUUGCCUUGCAUGGAUUGGCAGAGUCCCGCUAGCCACCCUCUUCACAUGGCCCAGGCUCUGUCAGAGCUGAUCAAAAGACAUUUCUUCACAUCUCCAGACGCCAGGGAAAAAAGGAGAAGAAAAGAGGGAGAGAAGAAAAGAGCCAGAAGGGGGCAUACUGCUCUCUCUUUACUCUGGUCUUUUGGUGAAUGAGGACUUUUUUCACAAUGCCCUCUCCUUUUUCUUUAUUUUUUUCAUUCUUCCAUUGGCAGAAAAAAAGAAAGAAAAAAAAAAAGAGUAUUUCCCAUCGCGUUUCGGCAAAUUGUUUUUGCCAUAUCAAAAACAAUUGUCCUCAGGUGAAGAAUGAGCCUGCAGAAUUACAACCAUUCCAGGGGGAGAAAGAGGUCUUCACAAAUCUGACUGGCUUCCAGGCAGCCAAGACCCCCUCGAAGUGGUAAUGAAAAGUGUAACUUUAGCCUCCCAGCUGUACGUCUCAAUCCAUAAUCCUUUCCCAAAAACCUCACCGUAGAGCCGCCUACCACUCCCAUGGCGUUCCCAGCCUGUGCCGGGCUGGGCCUGCUCUGAUUUAUGUGGCAGUCCCGUGUCAUACUCUCAACCUGAAAAGGAUUUGCUCUCCUAUAUUUACCAGGGUGGUCAGGGCAGCUCUCUGGAAACACAGAGAGCCCAGUGUCCGGGGCCUUUUCCCCAGACAGUCCUCUCACCCCUCUGUGCCAAUAAGAUGGACGUGUUGGACCUACCAGAAUGAGACGAGGCUCCAGUGUUUCCAUAGUCGUGUGUUUCUUCAGAGCAGAGGUCAGAGUCCAUGCACCCGCGCCCACGAAGCCGCAUGGCCACGUUUUGGUAUGCAGAUACACAGACGCAGGGUCCUUUAAAGACGUCCAGAAGAAUAUGACCAGCAGCAACAUGAGGCAGAAUCAGGAUAGACCAAUCAUCCAAAAGUGACGUGUGGCACCUGAUUAUUCAGCACUCCGUCCUUCUUCGGUGAAGGCCUGCGGGAAGUGAGACAUCUUCCUCAUCAUUCCCCUGUGGCCAGGUAAUUAUACUAAUCUACCUUCCUC